CCCGCUGAACUUAAGCAUAUCAAUAAGCGGAGGAAAAGAAACUAACAAGGAUUCCCCUAGUAACUGCGAGUGAAGCGGGAAAAGCUCAAAUUUAAAAUCUGGCGGUUCCACCGUCCGAGUUGUAAUUUAGAGAAGUGCUAUCCGCGCUGGACCGUGUACAAGUCUCCUGGAAUGGAGCAUCAUAGAGGGUGAGAAUCCCGUCCUUGACACAGACCCCCAGUACUUUUGUGAUGCGCUCUCGACGAGUCGAGUUGUUUGGGAUUGCAGCUCAAAAUGGGAGGUAAAUUCCUUCUAAAGCUAAAUAUUGGCGAGAGACCGAUAGCGAACAAGUACCGUGAGGGAAAGAUGAAAAGCACUUUGGAAAGAGAGUUAAACAGUACGUGAAAUUGUUAAAAGGGAAACGCUUGAAGUCAGUCACGUUUGCUUGGACUCAGCCUUACUUCGGUUUGGUGCAUUUCCUUGCAGACGGGCCAGCGUCCAUGUUGUUUGCCGGAGAAGGGGUGAGAGAAUGUGGCUCCUUUGGGAGUGUUAUAGCUCUUGCUCGUAUGCGGGGAAUGAUAUGGAGUGGUACAGCACACUUUGGUGGUGCUUGUGCUGGCAUAAUGGCUUUAAACGACCCGUCUUGAAACACGG
rnacentral:rRNA from 1 species